CACGUAGGGCGCGAGCGUUGUCCGGAAUUAUUGGGCGUAAAGAGCUCGUAGGCGGCCUGUUGCGUCCGCUGUGAAAGCCCGGGGCUUAACCCCGGGUCGGCAGUGGAUACGGGCUGGCUAGAGGCAGGCAGGGGAGAACGGAAUUCCUGGUGUAGCGGUGAAAUGCGCAGAUAUCGGGAAGAACACCCGUGGCGAAGGCGGCACUCUGGGCCGGAACUGACGCUGAGGAGCGAAAGCGUGGGGAGCGAACAGG
rnacentral:rRNA from 1 species